GACGAACCGUGCUAACGUUGUUCGGAAUCACUGGGCAUAAAGGGCGCGUAGGCGGCCUGCAUAGUCAGGGGUGAAAUCCUGCAGCUUAACUGUAGAAGUGCCUUUGAUACUGGCAGGCUCGAGGGAGGUAGGGGCAGAUGGAACUUCCGGUGGAGCGGUGAAAUGUGUUGAUAUCGGAAGGAACGCCGGUGGCGAAAGCGAUCUGCUGGACCUUUUCUGACGCUGAGGCGCGAAAGCUAGGGGAGCAAACGGG
rnacentral:rRNA from 1 species